ACGGAGGGGGCAAGCGUUGUCCGGACUUACUGGGCGUAAAGGGUCCGUAGGCGGCCUGCUGCGUCGCUGCUGAAAGCGCCCCGCUUAACGGGGCGAGGCGUGGCGAUACGAGCAGGCUUGAGGAAGGCAGAGGGUGGCGGAAUUCCGGGUGUAGUGGUGAAAUGCGUAGAGAUCCGGAGGAACGCCUGUGGCGCAAGCGGCCACCUGGGCCUUAUCUGACGCUGAGGGACGAAAGCGUGGGGAGCAAACCGGAUUAGAUACCCGGGUAGUCCACGCGGUAAACGAUGCGAGCUCGGUGUGUGGGGGCCUUUUGGGUCCCUGCGUGCCUUAGCACACGCGGUAAGCUCGCCGCCUGGGGACUACGAGCGCAAGCUUA
rnacentral:rRNA from 1 species